rnacentral:rRNA from 1 species
AGGACGAACGCUGGCGGCGUGCUUAACACAUGCAAGUCGAGCGGAAAGGCCCUUCGGGGUACUCGAGCGGCGAACGGGUGAGUAACACGUGAGUAACCUGCCCCUAGCUCUGGGAUAGCUCCGGGAAACCGGGAUUAAUACCAGAUACGACCACUUUAGACAUCUGUCGUGGUGGAAAGGAUUCCGGCUAGGGAUGGGCUCGCGGCCUAUCAGCUUGUUGGUGGGGUAACGGCCUACCGAAGGCGACGACGGGUA